AUGAUAACCAUCACAGAUUUGCUCAAUAUUUGUGAGUGAAAGCUGAACAGCUUGUACACUUACACCCUGUCUAUAAUGUCUAAACACUUGUGCUUGCUGUGCAAUUGAGAUGCCAGGCAGUGUGUCAUCUUCUAAACACUGGUGUUCUCUUUGCCAAUUAAGAUGCAGUGCAAUUCAAUCUGGUGGUAUGGUACCUGGUCUUGUGAAGCAUCUGAAACUGAAAAUCCAUCAGCGACCAUCAUCCGUGUGUGGCUGCAGAGGCAUUGUAUCAGGCAAAUAAGCCAAGAAAAGGAGCACUUCCAGGCAGGAAGAGAAGGAGAAGAAAGGGAUUCCUUUUUUUUAGAAAAGGGGGACAUCCCCAGCCUCUGCAUCGGAAAGAUGCAUACGGCCACCAAGAAAGGGAUUCCUGCUCUGCUGUAACCAUUGCCAGGCAAAUGCGGCACUGAGCAGGAGCAAAUCUCCUCGGAUAUCACAAGGUCUAACAUGCACAAUUCAAGCUCAGGUGGGUGAAGAUCAUUUGUGUGUGGCUGCAGAGGGUGCUAUACUAUCAGCCAAGAACAGGGAUUCCUGCUGUUAUGAAACCGUCGUUGUGGCGCCGAGCAGGAGCAUAUUUCCUUGGAUUUCACCAAGGUGACGGCCUCUUCUCUGAUACAUGAGCUUUGACUUUUCUGCUGUCUGCUGUGCGUAACGCUUUUUUGUGCUAGCAGUACGUAUAUGGUAUCCUUAAAAAAAAUUAGAGAUUCUGUGGACAAUCAUCUCUUUUUUAGUUCAGUCAUCUAUUGAGAGUUUUCAGAAACAACCGCCUGUUCAUAACUUUACUAACAGUGCAUGGAUUUCAGUCCUGGGUAUAGGUAUUGGUUAGUGUAAUCAACAGAAGUUGAAAAUAUUUAUUCUCAGUACUA